CCUACGGGUGGCAGCAGUGGGGAAUAUUGGACAAUGGGCGAAAGCCUGAUCCAGCCAUGCCGCGUGUGUGAAGAAGGCCUUCGGGUUGUAAAGCACUUUCAGUGGGGAAGAAAGCCUUGGGGCUAAUACCCUCGAGGAAGGACAUCACCCACAGAAGAAGCACCGGCUAACUCCGUGCCAGCAGCCGCGGUAAUACGGAGGGUGCGAGCGUUAAUCGGAAUUACUGGGCGUAAAGCGCGCGUAGGCGGUCUGAUAAGCCGGUUGUGAAAGCCCCGGGCUCAACCUGGGAACGGCAUCCGGAACUGUCAGGCUAGAGGGCAGGAGAGGAAGGUAGAAUUGCCGGGGUAGGGUUGAAAGGCGUAGAGAUCGGGAGGAAGACCAGUGGAGAAGGAGGUCUUUUGGACUGACAUGGACGCUGAGGUGCGAAAGCGUGGGUAGCAAACAGGAUUAGAUACCCGAGUAGU
rnacentral:rRNA from 1 species